rnacentral:rRNA from 1 species
GCUUCACGGCCUUCGUUGCUUUGCGUUAUGGUGCUUUUUGGGUGUACUUUUCCGUGGUAGGUCAAUAUCGAUUUUAGUCGUCAUAAAAUGAUCGGAGGAAUGUGGCUUCGAUCUCGUAUCGGAGUGUUAUAG